rnacentral:rRNA from 1 species
UACGGAGGAUCCAAGCGUUAUCCGGAUUUAUUGGGUUUAAAGGGUGCGUAGGCGGAAUUGUAAGUCAGUGGUGAAAGCCCUUCGCUUAACGAAGGAACUGCCAUUGAUACUGCAAAUCUUGAGUACAUUUGAUGAGGGCGGAAUGUGUCAUGUAGCGGUGAAAUGCUUAGAUAUGACACAGAACACCGAUUGCGAAGGCAGCUCUCAAAACUGUAACUGACGCUGAGGCACGAAAGCGUGGGUAUCAAACAGG